CCUACGGGUGGCAGCAGUGGGGAAUAUUGGACAAUGGGGGCAACCCUGACCCAGCGACGCCGCGUGAGUGAAGAAGUAUUUCGGUAUGUAAAGCUCUAUCAGCAGGGAAGAGAGAAAUAACGGUACCUGACUAAGAAGCACCGCCUAACUACGUGCCGGCAGCCGCGGUAAUACGUAGGGGGCAAGCUUUGUCCGGAUUUACUGGGUGUAAAGGGGGCGUAGACGGCGAUGCAAGUCUGAAGUGAAAGGCGGGGGCCCAACCCCCGGACUGCUUUGGAAACUGUAGGGCUGGAGUGCAGGAGAGGUAGGUGGAAUUCCUAGUGUAGCGGUGAAAUGCGUAGAUAUUAGGAGGAACACCAGUGGCGAAGGCGGCUUGCUGGACUGUAACUGACGGUGAGGCGCGAAAGCGUGGGGAGCAAACAGGAUUAGAUACCCGAGUAGUC
rnacentral:rRNA from 1 species